GAACCGAUUCCGCUGUGACCUGUGGGUGCACCGGCGGCGAAAAUGCCGUUUGCAUCGAUUUGGUACUCUCAUCCUCGGAAGUAUGGUGCAGGAUCCCGUUGCUGUCGGGCCUGCUCCAAUCGGCAUGGCCUGAUCCGGAAGUAUGGCCUCAACCUGUGCAGGCAGUGCUUCAGAGAAUAUGCCAACAACAUUGGAUUUAAGAAGCUGGAUUAGGCCGCUGCACGUGGGACGUCGGACUCGUGUGUGUGCUGCAUCAAGUUAAGACAUGAAGUCUUGCUUUGUAAGUGAGCCGAUUUGAUGGAUCAAAUACACGUGGCUGGUGUCCUUUGAAACCUGGCUGUUUU